rnacentral:rRNA from 1 species
UACGGGGGGGGCAAGCGUUGUUCGGAAUUACUGGGCGUAAAGGGUUUGUAGGUGGCUCGCUAAGUCAGCCGUGAAAUCCCUCAGCUUAACUGGGGAACUGCGUCUGAGACUGGCAAGCUUGAGUGCAGGAGAGGAACGCGGAAUUCCAGGUGUAGCGGUGAAAUGCGUAGAUAUCUGGAGGAACACCGGUGGCGAAGGCGGCGUUCUGGACUGUAACUGACACUGAGGAACGAAAGCCAGGGGAGCAAACGGG